rnacentral:rRNA from 1 species
AGAGUUUGAUCAUGGCUCAGGACAAACGCUGGCGGCGUGCGUAACACAUGCAAGUCGGACGGGGUGCUUGGCUUCGGCUGAGGAUCCAGUGGCGGACGGGUGCGUAACACGUGGAUGACCUACCUGCGGUGGGGGAUAGCCUGCGGAAACGCGGGAUAAUACCGCAUGUGGUGCCGGGCGGCGACGUCUGGCAGGAAAGC